ACUUGAUUACGUAUGAUGAUUUUAUAGUCGCUCUUAACCUGUUCAUACAAGCGCUCGUCUUGUGUUUAAGAUUAGAUAAACAUGAUUUGUUAAUAGUAUUUUUAAUUUAAAAAUAUAGUAUUUUAAUUAUAUAUAUGAAAAUGUGUAAAAUUCGAAGUGUUAUUGUGUUGAUGACGUACUUUUGGAUUGUGGUGAUGGCCAAAAAUAGUAGUAAAGAUGCUAUAGGAUUUCCUGAAGUCGAAGAAAAUCCUCUAAUAGCAAAUAAGCAGAACCGUGUACCUGUUUUCAUCCCGUCCAUGUGUCCUGAAAAUGAAUUGUUUUACCCUGGCGACCAAAGAGAUGAUUGGAUCUGCGACUGUCGACCAGGUAAUUUAUAUCAUCCAAACUCAGAUGCGUGUUGGCCAGCAUACCAACGAGGCCCAUGUGCAUAUAGUGAGUAUUUAAUAUUGCCCACUGAUACAGUUAUACCUAUUUGCAAGAAAAAUCCUUGUAUAAUAGAUACAAUGGUUCCUUGGAAAGGAAACUGCCAAAAGUUGGGUUCAACAGUUGCUUGUGGUGU